UGAGAAUAGUAGAGGACCAAGACCGCUGCCCUGAGGCACACCAGAACUUACAUGUAUCCAUUCUGAUCUAUUAUUAUUACUAGCAGUCACUGACUGUGAUCGAUUGCAAAGUAAUCAUCCACGGAACUGGUGGUCGGUUGAAAACGAUCACACGUUCUGGAUCAAUAGCAUCAAGUACGUCGUUGACAAAUGAGCUAAAGACAUCAAGCUUAGAAUUAAUGUCAAUCUGGGAUUCGGAGAGCUCCGUAUCAUAGUUGGAGAUGAAAUCAUCAACUGCAUCAGCAGAGAUAUUUUUAAUAGAUACUGUACGAUGUAGUCACGUUCGAGCAAUGCAUGAAAAUACUAUGAUUAUCUAUAAUACGGCGAUGAUCCCUGACCAAGCCACUCUUGAAUUAAUCGGAUUGUUCUACGUCCAAGUGCUUAUUAAGGAACCCAAGAAUAUAUAACCAUGCACUCAAUAUUGCUUCGACGAGAUACAUAUUUUAAUUUUAUAAAUUAGUGCUAAGAAUAAAGCAAAUAAAAAUUUAAAUAACCGCUAUCGAAAAAUAUAUUAUAAUAUAGAUAAUAAUAUCGACGUAAUAAUUACUCUAUCAAUUUAAAAUGUAGGAAAAAAAUUAAUACCAAACAGGGCAAAACAAAGCUUCUAAAGGAUUUUAUAAAUUAAAAUUGUGAUAGGCAAAAUAUGCCCCAAGAAUUUUUUUUUUUAAAUUUACUUAGUGGCAACAUCGACGUUAUACGGCAAUUCAGGUUAUCAAUAAUUUUUCAUAAAAAAUUAAAAAAUUUAAAAUAAGCUCUAAAAAUUUUCAUUUAAAUAAUUUGAUUAAAAUUUUUUACAAUUCAUGAUUGAAUAUAAAUAACAUAUUAAUGAGA